UACGAAGGGGGCUAGCGUUGCUCGGAAUCACUGGGCGUAAAGGGUGCGUAGGCGGGUCUUUAAGUCAGGGGUGAAAUCCUGGAGCUCAACUCCAGAACUGCCUUUGAUACUGGCGAUCUCGAGUCCGGGAGAGGUGAGUGGAACUGCGAGUGUAGAGGUGAAAUUCGUAGAUAUUCGGAAGAACACCAGUGGCGAAGGCGGCUCACUGGUCCGGUACUGACGCUGAUGUGCGAAAGCGUGGGGAGCAAACAGG
rnacentral:rRNA from 1 species